GAUGAACGCUGGCGGCGUGCCUAAUACAUGCAAGUCGAGCGAAUGGAUUAAGAGCUUGCUCUUAUGAAGUUAGCGGCGGACGGGUGAGUAACACGUGGGUAACCUGCCCAUAAGACUGGGAUAACCCCGGGAAACCGGGGCUAAUACCGGAUAACAUUUUGAACCGCAUGGUUCGAAAUUGAAAGGCGGCUUCGGCUGUCACUUAUGGAUGGACCCGCGUCGCAUUAGCUAGUUGGUGAGGUAACGGCUCACCAAGGCAACGAUGCGUAGCCGACCUGCGAGGGGGACCGGCCACACUGGGACGGAGACACGGCCCAGACUCCUACGGGAGGCAGCAGUAGGGAAUCUUCCGCAAUGGACGAAAGUCUGACGGAGCAACGCCGCGUGAGUGAUGAAGGCUUUCGGGUCGUAAAACUCUGUUGUUAGGGAAGAACAAGUGCUAGUUGAAUAAGCUGGCACCUUGACGGUACCUAACCAGAAAGCCACGGCUAACUACGUGCCAGCCGCCGCGGUAA
rnacentral:rRNA from 1 species